rnacentral:rRNA from 1 species
AGAGUUUGAUCAUGGCUCAGAGCGAACGCUGGCGGCAGGCCUAACACAUGCAAGUCGAGCGCCCCGCAAGGGGAGCGGCAGACGGGAGAGUAACACGUGGGAACGUGCCCUUUGGUUCGGAACAACACAGGGAAACUUGUGCUGAUACCGGAUAAGUCCGUAAGGAGAAAGAUUUAUCGCCAAAGGAUCGGCCCGCGUCUGAUUAGCUUGUUGGUGAGGUAACGGCUCACCAAGGCGACGAUCAGUAGCUGGUCUGAGAGGAUGAUCAGCCUCACUGGGACUGAGACACGGCCCAGACUCCUACGGGAGGCAGCAGUGGGGAAUAUUGGACAAUGGGCGCAAGCCUGAUCCAGCCAUGCCGCGUGGAUGAUGAAGGCCCUAGGGUUGUAAAGUCCUUUCGGCGGGGAAGAUAAUGACGGUACCCGCAGAAGAAGCCCCGGCUAACUUCGUGCCAGCAGCCGCGGUAAUACGAAGGGGGCUAGCGUUGCUCGGAAUCACUGGGCGUAAAGCGCACGUAGGCGGCUUUUUAAGUCAGAGGUGAAAUCCUGGAGCUCAACUCCAGAACUGCCUUUGAUACUGGAGAGCUUGAGUCCGGGAGAGGUGAGUGGAACUGCGAGUGUAGAGGUGAAAUUCGUAGAUAUUCGCAAGAACACCAGUGGCGAAGGCGGCUCACUGGCCCGGUACUGACGCUGAGGUGCGAAAGCGUGGGGAGCAAACAGGAUUAGAUACCCUAGUAGUCC